CAAUAGCGUAUAUUAAAGUUGUUGCGGCUAAAAAGCUCGUAGUUGGAUUUCUGCUGAGAACGACCGGUCCGCCCUCUGGGUGUGUAUCUGGCUCUUUCUUGGCAUCUUCUUGGUGAACGUUGCUGCACUUGACUGUGUGGAGCGCUACCCAGGACUUUUACUUUGAGGAAAUUAGAGUGUUUCAAGCAGGCAUACGCCUUGAAUACAUUAGCAUGGAAUAAUAAGAUAGGACCUCGGUUCUAUUUUGUUGGUUUCUAGAGCUGAGGUAAUGAUUAAUAGGGAUAGUUGGGGGCAUUCGUAUUUAACUGUCAGAGGUGAAAUUCUUGGAUUUGUUAAAGACGGACUACUGCGAANGNAUUUGCNAAGGAUGUUUNCAUUG
rnacentral:rRNA from 1 species